rnacentral:rRNA from 1 species
AACGAACGCUGGCGGCAUGCCUAACACAUGCAAGUCGAACGAGAUCUUCGGGUCUAGUGGCGCACGGGUGCGUAACGCGUGGGAAUCUGCCCUUUGGUUCGGAAUAACAGUUGGAAACGACUGCUAAUACCGGAUGAUGACGAAAGUCCAAAGAUUUAUCGCCAGAGGAUGAGCCCGCGUAGGAUUAGCUAGUUGGUGUGGUAAAGGCGCACCAAGGCGACGAUCCUUAGCUGGUCUGAGAGGAUGAUCAGCCACACUGGGACUGAGACGCGGCCCAGACUCCUACGGGAGGCAGCAGUGGGGAAUAUUGGACAAUGGGCGAAAGCCUGAUCCAGCAAUGCCGCGUGAGUGAUGAAGGCCUUAGGGUUGUAAAGCUCUUUUACCCGGGAUGAUAGUGACAGUACCGGGAGAAUAAGCUCCGGCUAACUCCGUGCCAGCCGCCGCGGUAA